UUAUAUCAUGAUUAUAUUUUAAUCGUUACACUGUGAUACCAUUUUGUACUUCAUUUAUAACAGGAAUUUCCAGUUUUAGAUCUUCCAAUAAUAAGUCCUUGCGUAUGGCUGAUUAUUGUUGAUGUGUCAUAUGUUCUUGUAGGGAGAUCGGGGUGCAGUAAACUUGCGGAUGAAAGGAUGCUCGGACUAUGACAAACUAAAGCAGUAAUUUGCCCCGAGUAUUGCAACUGGGCACCUUCAGAUAUGUUCAAUUAUACCUGCCUUGACUAGGAACGAAGAGCGUGCCCUGGAGGAAGAGUUUGCUAAUGAUGGUGCUGCCACCCAUGUUGAUGAUGAUUAUUACACUCCCAACUUGGAGAGUAUACCUCAGUUUGUGAAGGAAACUGGAGUUGAUGACCAAAACCAAGCUGCUAGCAAAUGUCCCAUGCAAGAUGCAAAUGCCGAGGGUAAGAAGGCGUUGAAGAAAGCAGACAAAGUAAGUGAGAUGACUGUGGCCCUAAAGGAGUACACCUCAAUGACAAGGGAAAGGUAUAGCGAUAAGAAGGGCAAGUCCAAUGGCACCUCUGAAGGAUUCGCUUAGUCUGCAGCUGAAGGUGAUUCUUGUUCUCUAGGGAAAGCUGUUGUUGUGCUUAAUCAAUAAGAGGACCUAGGGAAUAAGGCAUAUGUCAAAAUCUCAAAGGCUCUCUAGCAAAAGGAUAAUAGGGUGGUGUUUAUGGGCGUGCCGGAGCAUAGGAGGAAGGCAUGGAUGGAUGAUAUUGUCAACUCGGAGGAUUGAGUCAUGUUACUUAAUUUUUUAUGUUGUAGUCGUAGUAUAUGUAUUUCUCUUUCUAGGUGUAGACAUUAUAGCACUGUGGUGGUGUAGUAUGUGGUCUUUUAUUAUGUUCUAAACUAUGGAUUAUUAUGGGUUUUCUUUUUCUUUUUUUAGCUUCACAGUGAUGCUAUGUUGAAUUGGUUGCGGUUUUUUUUUUCUUUAUUCUAGAUAUAAUGGGAUGCUACAUUGAACAACUUGCGGUUUUUAUAUUGUUAGAUAUAAUGGGAUGCUAUGUUGAUUAGUUUGUGGGUUUUUUUCAAUGUUGGAUAUAAUGGGAUGCUAUGUUGAAUGGGUGGCAUUUUUAUUUUUAUUUUUGAAUACGAUGCUCUAUUGAAUAAUUUGAUUUUUUUUUUUUUGGAAUUUGGAUAUAAUGACAUGCUACGCUGAAUAGGUUGCAUUCUUUUUUAUAGUGUUUUAGUAGGAUGCUAUUUUGAAUAAUUUGAUGUGAUUAUUGGGAAGCGUUAUGAGGAUUUCUCAUAAGCAUGGUUAAAUAAUAUAGAUGGCACACAGAUUGAUGUGAACUUUGUUGAGUUGAGUUAUUUCCGUUUUGCUUAAUGCAUACAUCACAUACUUGAAGAGUGUUAUUGCAAUGUGUAGGUGACAAUGGCAUCAGGGGCUGAAUGGUUAGAUACAUUUCUGCAUUAUGACUUUGACGAUUCAUACUUCGACGACGUUAAUGUGGAUGCUCCCUCUGGAUUUACUGACGAAGAGAACUCAGAUUCAGAGUGUGAUAGCAAAGAUGAAGCAAAGUGUGAUAGCGAAGAUGAAGUAGAAUUUGAUUUUGUGAAUCCUAUAGUCAGGGAGAUGUUUGCCUAUAUGCAACAACAAUAUGAUAAAUAGCCCAUACAUACAAGUGUCCUGACGGGGAAUGGAUACAUGGAAGAACUGGAAGAAGGUAAUCCUAAGAAGUGUUCUGAGCUGUUUCACAUGACACGCCAAUUGCUGCUUCAUUUAGUGGAUGAAUUGCAUGGCUAUGGUUAUUUGAUAGAUAGGCAGGGUGAUGUAGCUUGCACACAGGCAGUAGCCAUGUUUUUGUACAUAAUUGGUUACAACACCCAAAUGAGAUGUGUUGCAGACAGGUUUCAACACUCAACUGAAAUGAUCUUACACCACUUCCGCAGGGUGUUGCGAGUUGUUCACUCAUAUGCAAAACACCUGAUUAAAUUGGAUCCAAAUGUAGAUGGCCUCCUCAAACAUCUUCAAGUGAACAAGUAUUGGCCAUGGUUCAAGAAAUGUGUUGGGACAAUUGAUGGCACCCAGGUCAGUGCUCAGCUCCCUUUAAACGAGACGUAAGCGUAUAGGAGCCACAAGUCUAUCGUAAUCACAAAUGUAUUGUGUGUGUGUGUAACAUGGAUAUGCAGUUCACUUAUGUUCAUGCUGGGUGGGAGGAUAGUGCUAAUGACUCGUGGGUGUUGGAUGAAGUGAUUAGUGACCCGAAGCAUGGAUUCCCAUGGCCACCAAUAGGGUCAUACUACUUGGUGGAUUCGGACUUCCCUAUUGGCACUAGUUUCCUUCCACCGCAUAAGUUAACUAGGUACCAUGCUCAAGAGUUCCGUUCAAGUAAUAAACAACCAUCAACAAAGAAAGAGUUGUACAACUAUAGGCACUCCUCGUUGCGGAUGGUUAUUGAGCGAUUAUUUGGAGUGCUGAAGUCUCGUUUCCCUAUUCUCAAUUUAAUGCCAAACUUCAAGCGUAGUAGGCAGCGUUAUGUGAUUGUUGCGUGCUGUGCUCUUCACAAUUUCAUACGCAUGAAUAACCAGGGUGAUGAACUCUUCCACACUUAGGCACUGCCACAGGUUGAAGGAACUUCCAACAGUGGCCUCCCCAACCAUAACACCAAAGCAUCUAGUAGUACUGCAACCCAAAGGCAUGUACUAGAAAUGUCAGAGGUAGCGAAAAGACUAAUGACCUAGUUUAGGGAUGACAUCACUGAUGCUAUGUGGCCUGAUUACGUGGCCUGCUGGCAUUGAUUGACCACAUUUUUAUUUUGUAUGGAAUUUAUCUUAGGUAAUGUUGUAUGGAAUUUAUCAUAGGAAUGUUGCAGCGUUAGUUCAACUAUUUCAAAACCUUCACUCAUAGGAGGAUUAUGUUGUAUGGAAUUUAUCAUAUGAAAUGUUGCAACUUUACUUAUUUUCAUUUUGGAACCUACAUAUUAUGGAGGACUAUAUUGGACUGAAGUUAUGUACAGAAAUGUUGCACCGUUUCUUCAAAUAUAAAUGAAGCCUAAAUGCAAAGGAGGAUUAUGUUGUAUGGUA